AUGGCUGUCGUCAGCUCGUGUCGUGAGAUGUUGGGUUAAGUCCCGCAACGAGCGCAACCCUUGUCCCUAGUUGCUACGCAAGGGCACUCUAGGGAGACUGCCGGUGACAAACCGGAGGAAGGUGGGGAUGACGUCAAGUCCUCAUGGCCCUUAUGGGUAGGGCUUCACACGUCAUACAAUGGCCGGUACAGAGGGUUGCCAAAGCGCGAGCUGGAGCCAAUCCCAGAAAGCCGGUCGUAGUCCGGAUUGCAGUCUGCAACUCGACUGCAUGAAGUCGGAAUCGCUAGUAAUCGCGGAUCAGCAUGUCGCGGUGAAUACGUUCCCGGGUCUUGUACACACCGCCCGUCACACCAUGGGAGCGGGAUGUACCAGAAGUAGGUAGGCUAACCGCAAGGAGGCCGCUUACCACGGUGCGUUUCGUGACUGGGGUGAAGUCGUAACAAGGUAGCCGUAUCGGAAGGUGCGGCUGGAUCACCUCCUUUCUAGAGAUAACCCAUGUCUUCAAGUGUCCACUCUUAUCGGUUGUUGCCGCGUAAAGCUUGCGGCCAGCGAAUGCCGGACACGGGCCUGUAGCUCAGUUGGUUAGAGCAUCGUCUUGAUAAGCGUGGGGUCGAUGGUUCAAAUCCAUCCAGACCCACCACUUUAUCGGGGGUGUAGCUCAGUUGGGAGAGCGCAUGCUUUGCAAGCAUGAGGUCAUCGGUUCGAUCCCGUUCACCUCCACCAAUUUAUUGCGGUAUUGAUAUCACGCCCCUGAUUGCCGCGUCGAGAAUGCAAAGUUAAGCGUCGCGCGCUUAGCUCUGGUUUUUUGACCAGUAGGCUGUAUUGCUCUUUAACAAAACGGAAGAAGUAAAGCGUUUCGGUUCCGAAGUCUGGAAUCGGAAUACUGGGUUUGAUUGUAUCGGCGCAUUCGACAAACAAAAGGGUCGAAUGCGUCACAAGCGCGUUAAAUGCCUUGUAAUCCGAGCUUCGAAGUCACAUUCGAGGAUUCAAGGUUAUAGGGUCAAGCGAACAAGUGCAUGUGGUGGAUGCCUUGGCGAUCACAGGCGAUGAAGGACGUAGUAGCUUGCGUUAAGCUGCGGGGAGCUGGCAAACAAGCUUUGAUCCGCAGAUGUCCGAAUGGGGAAACCCGG
rnacentral:sRNA from 1 species